rnacentral:lncRNA from 1 species
UAUAUGUAUAUAAUACAAUAUAACAUAAUGUUAUAAUACAGAAUAUAAUGUAUGUAUGUAAUAUAAAAUAUGUAAUCUUUACAUACACAGAUACAUAUAUGGAAAGAAAUGAGUUGGUUUUUUUAAAGAUUUAUUUAUUUAUUUAUUUAUUUAUUUAUUUAUUUAUUUAUUUAUGAUAGGCGUAGAGAGAGAGAGAGAGGCAGAGACACAGGAAGAGGGAGAAGCAGGCUUCAUGCCGGGAGCCCAAUGUGGGACUUGAUCCCGGGACUCCAGCAUCGCACCCUGGGCCAAAGGCAGGCACUAAACCACUGAGCCAUCCAGGGAUCCCCCAAGAAAUGAGUUUAUUGAAGGCAAUAAGCCAAAACAAGAUUUGCCAGCCAGGGGCAGAUUAGUAUGUAUUCUCCAUCAUGAGAGGGAAGUAGGGUGCUUGACCACCUUCUCAAAGUAAGGAAAGGAGGCUCCAGCAGAGAUAUCAGAAAAGAGUAUAUAUAAUUAAGGGUAGGAGAUUGGCAUCCUACAGCCAAUGCACCACAUGCUGAGCAAACAUGAAGUGGGGGGUGGUGGUCCUGGAAGAGCUAAAUGUAUGUUUCUUGGAAUUCGAGAGUACCUGUAGAUAGAGACUAUUGCCUGCUUCUCUCCUGAGAAUUCCAAAAAAGAGAGCUGGCUGGUGCAGUAUACUAUGGAAGCUAAAGAGAAGGGACCCAUUUGGGAUCCCAGUGCAUGACCCCCUUGAAUGGCAAGGAUGUAGAGAAGAUGGUCAAGCCAAGCAGUUUGGAAGCACCCACUUGAUAGGGCAGUGUACGGUGGUGAGCGGUCCCAUCACCAGGAGGCUGUGGGUAUACAUCAGGACAAAAGCAGAGGGAAGAUCACAAAUCUGUGAUCUCUGUGGGACUGCCAGACCAUCACAGAGGCACCUCCCAAGGGAGUGCCAGCUCUGGGGGACCAACCAUGUGUGCAGGACAGGUAGAUCACAAUGGCACCAAGCAUGGGGAGAUGUGUCCCAUUUCUACCAAUAAGUUUUCCCUGCUUCUGUCCUGGGGACAUGCGGAGAAGCAAUGAGAGCUGGGGUUGCGAGCAGCUUUGCACCAGAUGUGAAAUUGAAGAGUUCAGUCUAACCAGAACUUUUAAUGCCCAGCAAUGGACCUUCUUUGUCACAAAUUCUCUGACAUCCAGGAGCAGAGUCUAUGCCAGGAAAGAGCAAAGGAGCUUUUCAUGAAGUGGCUCCUUGGAGGUUCUUGUGAAAACAGCAUGUCUGACACUGGGGCUACAUACAUUUUUAAAUGCAUUUGUUUUUGUUUUUUUUAAAUGGUCAAGAAGCCAAUUGCACGUGAAAUUGUGUAUGAAAGUGUAUUCCCAAACCAGAAUGUGGAGGAGCUGUAGAACACAAUGCCUCUGGAGUUAGGCCGGGUUACAACACUUGUGAUGCUAACCACAUCUUAACUCUCCUGAGAUUGUACUCCUUCAUCUAGAAAAUAAGGCCUUUCCUAACCUUGCAGAGCUCUAGCAAGGGUGAAACAAAAGAUUAUCAAAAACUCUUAGUGUCCAGACUAACCUAUAGUAUGCACUGAAUAAAUAAAAUCUCAAAAAAAAAAAAAAAAAGUCAAACAAAAGGUACCGUCAUCAUCAUGUUUUGAGUGUUGCAGGAUUUUUUUUUUCCUUUCUUGCUUAUUUUCCACAGAUGUGUUUCUCAAUUUUGACAAAUUCGAUUUUGAAUAUUUUAACUCACUACUACAAAGGACAGUGAAUAUCUCUAAUCAAGGGAGAAUUUACAUUCACUGGUUAAAGGCCUUCUCUUGCCCUGGGUAGUAAGGGAAUAGGAAAAGGAAGGAGAAAGAAAUAGGAUAUAAUCGAAGAUUUAUCAAAUAAGUCCAACAAAUGAUUUCAAUAAAAUUUAAUCUAUUUUUCAAGAAAGAACUAUUUUUACUGUUCUGCUUUGCUGUAUGUUCAGCUUACACGAAAUAGCACCUGGUAAGGAAUCAUAAUAAUCACAGUCAAAUAUUGACCCGCUUC